GGAUCGGUGGCCGAGUGGUUAGGCAGCGGUCUGUAAAACCGCGUCCCUGGUGACAACGCAAGUUCAAAUCUUGCCCGAUCCACCA
rnacentral:tRNA from 1 species